UCCGGCAUGGUGUAAUGGUUAUCAUACCUGGUUUUCGUUGCUCGCAGACUUGUUUCACGCCCAGGAGAUCCGAGUUCAAUUAUCGGUGCAGGAA